UAGGAUAGAGGAGUUCUCAACCUUUCUCUCCCAUAUCUAGAGAUUUUUAAAGAAAAGAGGGAGCCCAGUGGGGUAAGAGUCUCAGAGCUAGAAGGAAGCUUGUAAAUUUCUGGAGCCCAUCCCCAUGUUUUAUAAACAAUCAAGACGAUUUGAUUUUCCCAAGGUCAGAACUGGAGCGAGACUCCAAAUCAGCAGAAACAGGGUUCUGAGAAUACCUGCCUGGGGCCCCACUACAUAGCUGCCUAGAGUGGAACAGGUUUGGGUUGUCCCAUCCCAUCUAAGUCCCUAAAAGAGAACUGGUUUCCUUGGCUCUCAACCCAGUGGCACCUGUUCUGACUUUUAGUCCUGGCCUAUAGCCAAGUACUGUUCCCACCCUAAUGCUUGGGACAGAUGGGGUUCGCGCCUUACCUACCCCAGCCCAGUCCUAUCCUGAGGGCCUUAUGGCCCUGUCCCUUCACUUGCCCACCCUGCUCCCUACUAUGUUGGAUGAAUGUGGCUAAAAUGGUGGUUUUGCUGGGUUCAGAGUGUAGCUGGAAUGACCAGACCAGAGACGUUCAAAAUAUGACAGAAUAGGAUAUUGCAUCCAGUCGGUGUGGAUCACGGAGCCCUGCCACCAACGUAGGGAGAAUGAAAUGUUUAAAGCCAAGAAAAACUGUAGCCUAAGUCAUGAAUGAUGAAAGAGCAGGGCUUACGUGGUCCUAUAGGAGUUUGGGGUGAUUGUCAGGCAUUGUGCAGCUCUACAGCUGCCAACACCACUCCUUCCUGGGGCUGCCUCAUUCCACUCCAACUUUAUGCAGAUCUCUUAUCAGCCCAGCCCUCCUGUUGACUACCAUCCCACUCUUUUAUUUCCUUCUGUUUGCCCCUUAGGAUGGCAAAAGACGCAAAGGGAAUGGUUUUCCAAGUGUGGUUUGGGUACACCCUUUAUCAGAAUUUGGCAACCUAUAAAAAAUGCAGAUUCCUGGAUGGGUCCCAGACCUAAUCACAACUCCAGGGGUAAUUCUGAAGCACAGGCAACGUUUUAGCACAGCACAGCUGAUCUGGGGCCUAGAGGAUACUUGCUCAGAAGCCUGAGUCCUAAUUCUAAACCUAUAUAACCUGGUAAUGAUAAUCCCUUACCGAUGUAGACCUCUCAAACCUCGUUUUGACGUAUUAGCUCCUUGACUGCAGCAACCCGAUGCAGGAGACACGGUUGCGCAGGGUCCCCUUCCAGAAGACCGGUGAGUUGCCCACGGUACCUACCGAACACACGGCAGGUAAACCAGCCACACCCAGACGCCUGGUGGAGCCAGAACUGGUGUCAACUAGAGGCCAGUCCUGUCCACAGGCCACCAUUUGGGGGCCCUGGGAUCAGAGGAUACAGAGCCCCAUCCACGUUCCUGUCUCUGUCUACACUCCUCACACCCAGAGCCAAGAGCCACACCAGUUCCAGGUGGAAGCCCUGUGUGUUGCACUGGUCACUCCGGCAGGGAGCUGUUUGUGAAGCUGGCCUCUCCUCCACCCAUCACCCACCCACUCUCAGACAGAACUAGCCUGUUGAAAUAGUUCUUGGAUCCACAAAAACCUGACAACUUGCCUGCCUUCUUCCAUUGCACACUCCUCAGCCCUUCCUCUAUAUUGAGUCAGAGUAAGCUAUGGAGUUCCCCUAAAUCCUUCAGUGGCACCCAGCACUAUAAUUUCUAAGGUUUCCCAAGGCAAAUAUGACUCUGAUCUGUCUCGGCCUUCCCCGCCGGCUGCUCCUCUCCCCAUCCCCACUGAGAACUUGUGUACCAGCUGUAAACAGUCCUCAAGACACAGUUUCUGAUCCCUGUGCCUUUGGCCCAGCUGGUCCCUCUGUGGAGGAUGUCCUAGCCCUUCACCUUUGCUCUUGCUUCCUCAUCCCAAAGUCCUCAGUUCUGGGGCUGUCUCUUUCAGGAAGGCCACCCUUCUUCAACCCUUCCCACUCCUCUGUCCUCAAUUCACCCCCUCUUAGCAGGCCCCUUCCUGCUCCUCCCUGGGCAUAUCCAUAUCAGUGGGCUUUCUCCACUCUUGUAUUUAUCUCAUUUGUGUCUGUUUCCCAGGCAUUAGGUUAAGAAUUUAAGGAUCAGGAUUGUGAUUGAUCUGCCUUUAUACACUCACUGUCCAGCACAGUUCCUGGCACAUAAUAGGUGCUCAGCAAAUGUUUACUGAAAGCGUAGAUGGGUAGUCAUGUGACCCUUAGCUCACAACUUGCUGGUACCAGAGUUAUUUGUAUAUGUGAUUACCUCUGUGUACUGUACAGCUCUUUGAGGUCAAAGACCAUUUCUCACUUAUCUGAACCCUCCCAACAGCACCCAGUGCUCACAGUAAGCACUCAAUGGUUAUGUUCAUGCUGAAUGAGUGAAACAACAGGUGGGCCAGAGCCCUGGCCUAAUCCCCAGAGUUGGCAGAAACAGCAGAGCCAGCCGGCCUGGCCUGGCGCUGCUUCCCCCCGGCCUUCCCGCUCCCGAGUAGCAGAGCCCAGCUGCAGAGGGGAGGCCCUCACCUCCCAUAGUCCUACGACCCACUCAAAAACAGAAAGAAACUGUGAUGAGGGACCCUGGUCUCCCUUCUGCCAGCUGAGAACAACAAGGGGAUUGGAAAGAAAGAGGGCAGAGUCAGGACACACACCGUCCCUUUUUUUAACUUGUGUAAAACAUAUUGUAUAUACAGAAGAGUCUGUAACAUGCAUAUAUGUAGUGUGAAAAGCAAUAAUAAACUCCUUUGUACCCAGCACCCAGGCCAAUGAAGAGAACACUUCAAGUAACUUUGAAGCCUGUGUGCCCCUCUCUGACACGUUCUCCCUAGAGGAACCAUUCUCCCUAGAGGAUCCUGAAUUUAGCAACAAUCCUCUUCUCACUUUUCUUUACGGUUUCCUACCUAUCUGUGUGCCCGUAAACAAUAUUUCGAUUGCCUGUUUUUAAGCUUUGGAACAUGAGACUCAUACUAAAUAUAUUCUUCUAUGUCUUGCUCCUUUGGCUCAGUAUAGUUUUCAAAGAUCCCUUCACAUUAAUGAGUGGAACUUUAAGUUGGUCAUUUGGUCUUCAUUUUUCUUACAUACAUUUCUUGUAUAGUAUUCCAUUGUGUGAAAAUACUACAGUUUAAUUAUUCAUCCUAGUGUUGAUGGACAUUUGUAUUGUUUCCAGUUUGGGGCUACCUAAAGCAUUCUGUGUCUUCUGGUUUCUGUGUGCAAGAGUCUCCCAGGAAUUGAGUUUCUGUGCUGUAGGAUAUACAUGAUCAACUUUACUAAGUAAUUAAUUCCAGUUGUUUUCCAAAA